rnacentral:rRNA from 1 species
AGAGUUUGAUCCUGGCUCAGGAUGAACGCUGGCGGCGUGCCUAACCCAUGUAAGUCGAGCGAUUCUUAGCAAUAAGAAGAGCGGCGGAAGGGUGAGUAACACGUAGGAGACCUACCUCAUCGCAGGGAACAACUUCGCGAAAGCGGAGCUAAUACCCAAGAAGCUCGUGCAUUCGGUUGUACGAGAAGAGUUUGUAAGAGCGUGAUGAGAGGGUCCUGCGGCCCAUCAGCUAGUUGGUAGGGUAGUGGCCUACCAAGGCAACGACGGGUAGGGGGUCUGAGAGGACGAUCCCCCACGCUGGAACUGAAACACGGUCCAGACGCCUACGGGUGGCAGCAGGGAGGAAUAUUGGGCAAUGGACGAAAGUCUGACCCAGCAACGCCGCGUGAAGGAUGAAGGCCCUCGGGUUGUAAACUUCUUUUGAGGG